rnacentral:rRNA from 1 species
CGGACGGGUGAGUAACGCGUGGAAAACCUGCCGUAUACUGGGGGAUAACACUUAGAAAUAGGUGCUAAUACCGCAUAAGCGCACAGCUUCGCAUGAAGUGGUGUGAAAAACUCUGGUGGUAUACGAUGGUUCCGCGUCUGAUUAGCUUGUUGGCGGGGUAAUGGCUCACCAAGGCGACGAUCAGUAGCCGGCCUCGAGAGGGUGAACGGCCACAUUGGGACUGAGACACGGCCCAAACUCCUACGGAAGGCAGCAG